rnacentral:rRNA from 1 species
GACGAACGCUGGCGGCGUGCUUAACACAUGCAAGUCGAACGGAAAGGCCCUGCUUUUGUGGGGUGCUCGAGUGGCGAACGGGUGAGUAACACGUGAGUAACCUGCCCUUGACUUUGGGAUAACUUCAGGAAACUGGGGCUAAUACCGGAUAGGAGCUCCUGCUGCAUGGUGGGGGUUGGAAAGUUUCGGCGGUUGGGGAUGGACUCGCGGCUUAUCCGCUUGUUGGUGGGGUAGUGGCUUACCAAGGCUUUGACGGGUAGCCGGCCUGAGAGGGUGACCGGCCACAUUGGGACUGAGAUACGGCCCAGAAUCCUACGGGAGGCAGCAGUGGGGAAUAUUGCACAAUGGGCGGAAGCCUGAUGCAGAAACGCCGCGUGCGGGAUGACGGCCUUCGGGUUGUAAACCGCUUUCGCCUGUGACGAAGCGUGAGUGACGGUAAUGGGUAAAGAAGCACCGGCUAACUACGUG